rnacentral:rRNA from 1 species
UACGUAGGGUGCGAGCGUUAAUCGGAAUUACUGGGCGUAAAGCGUGCGCAGGCGGCUUCGCAAGUCAGACGUGAAAUCCCCGGGCUUAACCUGGGAAUGGCGUUUGAAACUACGGAGCUGGAGUGUGGCAGAGGGAGGUAGAAUUCCACGUGUAGCAGUGAAAUGCGUAGAUAUGCGGAGGAACACCGAUGGCGAAGGCAAUCCCCUGGGCCUGCACUGACGCUCAUGCACGAAAGCGUGGGGAGCAAACAGG